GCAGGAUUGUUCCUGCCUGAUUCAUAAACAUCAUGAUUGGCUUUUGAUUGCUGUCACGUCUAAUGUGGCUUCUGUCUCGUGUCACAUCUGAAACUCAUCUGUACCUCACUUAGAAAGUCGACAGAAACCUAAGGGGACCAUUGAAGAAUUCCAAACAGGCAAGUGACAGGAAAAUAUCUGCAUGUUAGAAGAAUCACCUUG
rnacentral:lncRNA from 1 species